GAUGAACGCUGGCGGCGUGCCUAAUACAUGCAAGUCGAGCGAACAGACGAGGAGCUUGCUCCUUCGACGUUAGCGGCGGACGGGUGAGUAACACGUAGGUAACCUACCUAUAAGACUGGGAUAACCUCGGGAAACCGGAGCUAAUACCGGAUAAUAUUUCGAACCGCAUGGUUCGAUAGUGAAAGAUGGCUUUGCUAUCACUUAUAGAUGGACCUGCGCCGUAUUAGCUAGUUGGUAAGGUAACGGCUUACCAAGGCAACGAUACGUAGCCGACCUGAGAGGGUGAUCGGCCACACUGGAACUGAGACACUGUCCAGACUCCUACGGGAGGCAGCAGUAGGGAAUCUUCCGCAAUGGGCGAAAGCCUGACGGAGCAACGCCGCGUGAGUGAUGAAGGUCUUCGGAUCGUAAAACUCUGUUAUUAGGGAAGAACAAACGUGUAAGUAACUGUGCACGUCUUGACGGUACCUAAUCAGAAAGCCACGGCUAACUACGUG
rnacentral:rRNA from 1 species